AACGAACGCUGGCGGCGUGCCUAACACAUGCAAGUCGAGCGAGAAAGUCCGCAAGGAUGAGUAAAGCGGCGCACGGGUGCGUAACACGUGGGUAAUCUUCCUUGGAGCCCGGAAUAACUCCCCGAAAGGGGUGCUAAUGCCGGAUAAGCCCACGGGAACCUUGGUUCCUGAGGGAAAAGGUGGCCUCUGUAUACAAGCUAUCACUCCUAGAUGAGCCCGCGGCCCAUCAGCUAGUUGGCGGGGUAAUGGCCCACCAAGGCUACGACGGGUAGCUGGUCUGAGAGGACGAUCAGCCACACUGGAACUGAGACACGGUCCAGACUCCUACGGGAGGCAGCAGUGGGGAAUCUUGCGCAAUGGGCGAAAGCCUGACGCAGCAACGCCGCGUGUGUGAUGAAGGUCUUCGGAUCGUAAAGCACUGUCGGGAGGGACGAAUAAGGGCGGGGCGAACAUCCCCGUUCGAUGACGGUACCUCCAAAGGAAGCACCGGCUAACUCUGUGCCAGCAGCCGCGGUAAUACAGAGGGUGCUAGCGUUGUUCGGAAUUAUUGGGCGUAAGGCGCGUGUAGGCGGCCAUGCAAGUCGGGUGUGAAAGCCCUCAGCUUAACUGAGGAAGUGCGCCCGAAACUACAAGGCUUGAGUGCCGGAGAGGGUGGCGGAAUUCCCGGUGUAGAGGUGAAAUUCGUAGAUAUCGGGAGGAACACCAGUGGCGAAGGCGGCCACCUGGACGGUUACUGACGCUGAGACGCGAAAGCGUGGGGAGCAAACAGGAUUAGAUACCCUGGUAGUCCACGCUGUAAACGAUGAGCGCUAGGUGUUGCGGGUGUUGACCCCUGCAGUGCCGCAGCUAACGCAUUAAGCGCUCCGCCUGGGAAGUACGGCCGCAAGGCUA
rnacentral:rRNA from 1 species